GCUGGCGGCAGGCUAACACAUGCAAGUCGAGCGGUAACAGAUUAGCUUGCUGGAUGCUGACGAGCGGCGGCGGGUGAGUAAUGCAUAGGAAUAUGCCUUUGAGUGGGGGACACAGUUGGAAACGACUGCUAAUACCGCAUAACGUCUACGGACCAAAGGGGGGGGUUCUUCGGAACCUCUCGCUCAUUGAUUAGCCCAAGUGAGAUUAGCUAGUUGGUAAGGUAAUGGCUUACCAAGGCGACGAUCUCUAGCUGGUUUGAGAGGAUGAUCAGCCACACUGGGACUGAGACACGGCCCAGACUCCUACGGGAGGCAGCAGUGGGGAAUAUUGCACAAUGGGCGAAAGCCUGAUGCAGCCAUGCCGCGUGUGUGAAGAAGGCCUUCGGGUUGUAAAGCACUUUCAGUUGUGAGGAAAGGGUGUUGGUUAAUAGCCAACAUCUGUGACGUUAACAACAGAAGAAGCACCGGCUAACUUCGUGCCAGCAGCCGCGGUAAUACGAGGGGUGCAAGCGUUAAUCGGAAUUACUGGGCGUAAAGCGUUCGUAGGCGGUCUAUUAAGCAAGAUGUGAAAGCCCAGGGCUCAACCUUGGAACUGCAUUUUGAACUGGUAGACUAGAGUACUGUAGAGGGUGGUGGAAUUUCCAGUGUAGCGGUGAAAUGCGUAGAGAUUGGAAGGAACAUCAGUGGCGAAGGCGGCCACCUGGACAGAUACUGACGCUGAGGAACGAAAGCGUGGGGAGCGAACAGGAGUUAGAUACCCUGGUAGUCCACGCCGUAAACGAUGUCAACUAGCCGUUUGUGCCUUGAGACGUGAGUGGCGCAGCUAACGCAUAAGUUGACCGCCUGGGGAGUACGGCCGCAAGGUAAAACUCAAAUGAAGUUGAACG
rnacentral:rRNA from 1 species